rnacentral:rRNA from 1 species
GAUCCUGGCUCAGGACGAACGCUGGCGGCGUGCUUAACACAUGCAAGUCGAACGAAGCACUUUGCUUGAUCCCUUCGGGUGAUUGCUUUGUGACUGAGUGGCGGACGGGUGAGUAACGCGUGGGUAACCUGCCUCAUACAGGGGAUAACAGCUGGAAACGGCUGCUAAUACCGCAUAAGCGCACAGUACCGCAUGGUACGGUGCGAAAAACUCCGGUGGUAUGGGAUGGACCCGCGU